GGAAUGAAAAGUCACAGGGAUGAAAGGUAUAGCACAGGGAAUAUAGUCACUGGUAGAGUAAUCCAGUUGUAUGGUGACUGAUGGUAGCUACACUUCUGAGGAUAGCAUAAUCGAUAAGAGUGGC